rnacentral:rRNA from 1 species
UGGAGACSAAUAGCGCACAAGUAUGWGUGAUCGAAAGAUGAAAAAGCCCUUUGGAAAGAGAGUCAAACARUACGUGAAAUUGUUGAAAGGGAAACGCUURCAACUAGACCUGUCCGUAGGWGAUCAGCCGCUGUUCUCAGUGGUGCACUCGCUCUGCGAUCAGAGCCAGCAUCGGUUCGGGCGGUCGGAUAAAGGCCUUGGGAAUGUAGCUUCCUUYGGGGAGUCUUAUAGCCCUCGGUGCAAUGCG